UACGAAGGGGGCUAGCGUUGCUCGGAAUCACUGGGCGUAAAGCGCACGUAGGCGGAUCUUUUAAGUCAGGGGGUGAAAUCCCUCGGCUUAACCGGGGGAACUGCGUCUGAUACUGGAUGGCUUGAGAUUGGGAGAGGGAUGCGGAAUUCCAGGUGUAGCGGUGAAAUGCGUAGAUAUCUGGAGGAACACCGGUGGCGAAGGCGGCAUCCUGGACCAACACUGACGCUGAGAGCGAAAGCCAGGGGAGCAAACGGGG
rnacentral:rRNA from 1 species